GACGAACGCUUGCGGCGUGCUUAACACAUGCAAGUCGAACGGAAAGGCCCUGCUUUUGUGGGGUGCUCGAGUGGCGAAUGGGUGAGUAACACGUGAGUAACCUGCCCUUGACUUUGGGAUAACUUCAGGAAACUGGGGCUAAUACCGGAUAGGAGCUCCUGCUGCAUGGUGGGGGUUGGAAAGUUUCGGCGGUUGGGGAUGGACUCGCGGCUUAUCAGCUUGUUGGUGGGGUAGUGGCUUACCAAGGCUUUGACGGGUAGCCGGCCUGAGAGGGUGACCGGCCACAUUGGGACUGAGAUACGGCCCAGACUCCUACGGGAGGCAGCAGUGGGGAAUAUUGCACAAUGGGCGGAAGCCUGAUGCAGCAACGCCGCGUGCGGGAUGACGGCCUUCGGGUUGUAAACCGCUUUCGCCUGUGACGAAGCGUGAGUGACGGUAAUGGGUAAAGAAGCACCGGCUAACUACGUGCCAGCAGCCGCGGUGAUACGUAGGGUGCGAGCGUUGUCCGGAUUUAUUGGGCGUAAAGGGCUCGUAGGUGGUUGAUCGCGUCGGAAGUGUAAUCUUGGGGCUUAACCCUGAGCGUGCUUUCGAUACGGGUUGACUUGAGGAAGGUAGGGGAGAAUGGAAUUCCUGGUGGAGCGGUGGAAUGCGCAGAUAUCAGGAGGAACACCAGUGGCGAAGGCGGUUCUCUGGGCCUUUCCUGACGCUGAGGAGCGAAAGCGUGGGGAGCGAACAGGCUUAGAUACCCUGGUAGUCCACGCUGUAAACGGUGGGUACUAGGUGUGGGGUCCAUUCCACGGGUUCCGUGCCGUAGCUAACGCUUUAAGUACCCCGCCUGGGGAGUACGGCCGCAAGGCUAAAACUCAAAGGAAUUGACGGGGCCCCGCACAAGCGGCGGAGCAUGCGGAUUAAUUCGAUGCAACGCGUAGAACCUUACCUGGGUUUGACAUGGAUCGGGAGUGCUCAGAGAUGGGUGUGCCUCUUUUGGGGUCGGUUCACAGGUGGUGCAUGGCUGUCGUCAGCUCGUGUCGUGAGAUGUUGGGUUAAGUCCCGCAACGAGCGCAACCCUUGUUCACUGUUGCCAGCACGUUAUGGUGGGGACUCAGUGGAGACCGCCGGGGUCAACUCGGAGGAAGGUGGGGAUGACGUCAAGUCAUCAUGCCCCUUAUGUCCAGGGCUUCACGCAUGCUACAAUGGCUGGUACAGAGAGUGGCGAGCCUGUGAGGGUGAGCGAAUCUCGGAAAGCCGGUCUCAGUUCGGAUUGGGGUCUGCAACUCGACCUCAUGAAGUCGGAGUCGCUAGUAAUCGCAGAUCAGCAACGCUGCGGUGAAUACGUUCCCGGG
rnacentral:rRNA from 1 species